rnacentral:lncRNA from 1 species
GAACAUUUUCAGGAGAGAAGACCAAGGGUGUGGGCAAGCAACCAGUUGAUAAGGAGAUCAGUAGGGAUAGAAGGAAGCCAGAGGCUGUUCAUUAGGACAAUGGAAGAAUGACUCUGAAGGCAUUUUGGAAAUUACUGGUGCUGUCCCUCCCAUCACAGGCACAGGGUGCCAUGACCUCGGAGAAGGAAAUACAGUCAUGCCCCACAUAUAGACCUUUUCACCAAGGAAGGAGCACAUAUACAAAGAGGCUUCCAAGACUCUGAAAUACCAGGAUUUCCACAAACUCAUCUUGCCCUGACUGGGAAUCUUUCGGAGAUUGGAUUUCAGAGUAUUCCCCAACCUGAUCGGAUAUCACCUCCUCAAUGGAAGCUUCCCUAAUACCCUCUGAUGUUUCUAGAAGCAGGACACAUGGCUUGUGUCAUAAGUCUUGACCUGAUUAUCAUAGAUUGCCUCACCAAGUUUAGCAUACCCUGUCUGAGAGUGAUGCUGGCAAAUUAGUGAAUAAGAGGACUGUGGAAUUUAUUUGAUUGCUAAUCUUGUGUCAGGACAUGGUUAUUUUUAAAAAAAGAAGUGUCCUCUUUUGAUCUUAACUGUUUGAUAUCUCAGCCCUUGAGUGAGGCAGUUAUAUGCAAAGGAGAUGAGAAGGAUGAGAAAAGUGAGUACUUUUCCUUUAUAAAAGCCACAUGAAUUGAACAAGACUUCAGAAUUCAGAAGAGCUACAUCAAGUUCUUGGGUCAUUUUUUUAACCCAUUCUCCAAGAUUUGAAAAAAUGACCUUGCAAAUAUGUGCAAGACUCUGGAAUCUUCCUCUGGCAGAUGAUGAAUGAGAUGAAUAUUUCCAGGUGCUUGCCUUCAGCACCAGCACAUGCACAUUCUAGUACUCUUGGCCUUGAUCCUACACUGAAUCUGAGGGUGCAAGGACUUUAGAUAGAGGCUCAGGACAGACUGGACCUGCAUGAACCUCUGAAUUGUAGCUAGCCUGGGCAGCCAGUUACUUGGAUCCCUCUGGGGCUUCUGGACAAACAACUCUUUUAUAGCCCAAGGUAGAUGGUCAGGGGCGACCAGAGAUAGCAAUAGAUUCAUUGACUUCAAGCUUAACAUGAGUUAGCAGUAUGGUGAGGCUUCCAACAAAAUGUAAGCACUCAAUAAAUG